CCCUUAGAUGUUCUGGGCCGCACGCGUGCUACACUGAGUGGAUCAGCGGGUCAGGUUGCGCGAAAGUGUUUCCUAAUCUUUAAAUCCGCUCGUGAUGGGGAUUGACGGUUGCAAUUUUCCGUCAUGAACGAGGAAUACCUUGUAAGCGCGGGUCAUCAUCCCGCGCUGAAUACGUCCCUGCCCUUUGUACACACCGCCCGUCGCUCCUACCGAUUGAGUGGUCCGGUGAGGCUUUGGGAUCUGAGCGGAAAGAGCGUUUCGCUGUUUCUGCCCGGAAAACUCAGUCGAACCUUAUCAUUUAGAGGAAGGCGAAGUCGUAACA
rnacentral:rRNA from 1 species